rnacentral:rRNA from 1 species
GACGAACGCUGGCGGCGUGCCUAAUACAUGCAAGUAGAACGCUGAAGCUUGGUGCUUGCACCGCGCGGGUGAGUUGCGAACGGGUGAGUAACGCGUAGGUAACCUACCUGGUAGCGGGGGAUAACUAUUGGAAACGAUAGCUAAUACCGCAUAAUAGUAGAUAUCGCAUGAUAGCUACUUGAAAGGUGCAAAUGCACCACUACCAGAUGGACCUGGGUUGUAUUAGCUAGUUGGGGAGGUAACGGCCCACCAAGGCAACGAUACAUAGGCGGCCCUGGAGGGGGGUUGGGCAACCUGGGACUGGGAACCGGCCCAGACCCCUACGGGGGGGCGCCGUAGGGGAUCUUCGGCAAUGGAGGGAAGUCUGGCCGAGGAACGCCGGGUGGGUGAAGAAGGUUUUCGGAUCGUAAAGCUCUGUUGUAAGGGAAGAACGAGUGGGGGAGUGGAAAGUUCACACUGUGACGGUACCUUACCAGAAAGGCACGGCUAACUACGUG